GGGUCACCACCUCUAAUAUACACUACAUAAACAUGACUAAAUAAAUAAAUAAAUAAUUAUGCAUGCAUCGUCAUAUAAAAGUGUUAUUUUCCCUCUUAUGGGGAGAUGACGGUCAGAGAGGCAGCAUCAGUAUCUACAACCCUCACUAUAGUAGAGGCAUCUGUGGUUGAGCUUUAAGGGGUUAAAACCAUCCAUUACUAAAUUGCUAGAAAGGACGCGAGGCAAAGAAAAGCCCAGCAACUUCCUCUUCCGGAUCCCUCAAUGGGCGGAAGGUGGUGUGCAGAGCGGAUCCUGUGCUCUUCCCAGGAUCGAAGCGGCAGCUGGAAGGGAAAGAGGAUGCCAAUAAGAGCAGUCUGGAAAACUGAGAAUAACAAGCAACUUUGAAAAGGAAAACAAAUCAAGCCAGAAAUCAAAAUAUUUUCCAUUUCCUACAGAAACCACACAAUUCUUCUGCUUCCCUAGUAGGUAAGAGACAAAGGAGAGAAAAUUAGGCAGAGAUUAUGAGCAGGAAAAUGUGGAGUAUGUGGAACUCAAAGAUACAUUCUUGAAAAGUCAAGGGAGAUUAUUUUUCCAUUCAGAAAAAGAGGGCAAUGCCAGGAUGUCAGUGGGGAGGAAAAGGUCAAUUGAACAGCCGCAUAGGGCAGACAGUGAAGCAGACAUCACCCUGUGAGGAAGGCAACAGUAGCUGCACUCAAAGCACAACUAAACAAUCUAUAAGGCAUGGUGGAAAAGCUCUACUGACAUGAAUAUUGUGGGGAAAAAUACAGACUCCAAAUCAUGGCUGAUUAUGCACAAAAUGAUUCAUAUUGCAGAAAAGC